CUUGGUUAAUUCCGGUAACGAACGAGACCUUAACCUGCUAAAUAGCCAGGCCGGCUUUCGCUGGUCGCCGGCUUCUUAGAGGACUGUCAGCGUCUAGCUGACGGAAGUUUGAGGCAAUAACAGGUCUGUGAUGCCCUUAGAUGUUCUGGGCCGCACGCGCGCUACACUGACAGAGCCAGCGAGUUUUCACCUUGGCCGGAAGGUCUGGGUAAUCUUGUGAAACUCUGUCGUGGCUGGGGAUAGGGCAUUGCAAUC
rnacentral:rRNA from 1 species